UACGUAGGUGGCAAGCGUUAUCCGGAUUUACUGGGUGUAAAGGGCGUGUAGGCGGGACUGCAAGUCAGAUGUGAAAACCACGGGCUCAACCUGUGGCCUGCAUUUGAAACUGCAGUUCUUGAGUACUGGAGAGGCAGACGGAAUUCCUAGUGUAGCGGUGAAAUGCGUAGAUAUUAGGAGGAACACCAGUGGCGAAGGCGGUCUGCUGGACAGCAACUGACGCUGAGGCGCGAAAGCGUGGGGAGCAAACAGG
rnacentral:rRNA from 1 species